rnacentral:piRNA from 1 species
UGCGGACGAUUAUGACAAGAAGAAACUUGU